rnacentral:lncRNA from 1 species
AAAAUUUUCAACUUGGAAAACCAUCUAGCCUGAUAGCAUGUAAAAUAGCUCCUGUCUAAUUUUAGUUUCACCAAAAUCAACAAACUCAGUAGCAGUUGCUAACUUGGUUCUUCCAUUUCAACAGGAAAGCGAUGCUCGAGAAACAGCGGUAGCAAAAUUGUUUGCAUCUGUGAAGAGGAAUGGGAUGCAAUUCAAUCAAUAUGGCGCUGUUGCCCAGUGC